GCCAACGUAGCUCAGUGGUAGAGCAGCUCUUUCGUAAAGAGCAGGUCGUCGGUUCAAUCCCGACCGUUGGCUCCA
rnacentral:tRNA from 4 species